GCCAGUGUGGCAUAGUGUUUGAGCAUUGGACUACAACUCUAGAGAUCAGAGUUCGAUUCCCUGCUCAGACA